UCUUAGCAAUUUCGUGUAAAUUCGAGUGAAUCUUGACGAUUUUUGUGUUUCUCUGUGUUUCACAGCAAAUUAUUGAUAAUUGUUGUGUCUAGAUCCACGAUUGGAAAAACAUUUGCACUAAGAAAAGUGGGGGUUGCCGAGUUCAGUCAGCAGAUCGGCCGGAAAACCCUUGGGGCCGAGCCUCAAGAAGAACAACCGAAAAAAUAUAUGGGCAUUUUCAUAGCUGCAGCCACAACAGAUCUACUCAACUCCAGUUCUCAAAUUUUUUAUAUGAAUGCAUUUUGCAGGUCAUAGGAGCGACUCGGCUAGAAAGCUUAUUGCUACCUCUUCCUUCUUCGCUGCGAAGGUUAUCGUUGCGCCGGAGUCCAGCCUCCGCGCCGAAAACCUGCUCUGUUUCAGAGUGUGUUAUCAAGGGGAAGUUCAGUUUGGAGAGAGAUUAGGGAAAUAAACAACAUGCCUUCAAUCUCAGCACAACUGAGAGACCUACAGGAAUUCGGAGUUAUGUUGGUUA
rnacentral:lncRNA from 1 species